rnacentral:rRNA from 1 species
UACGGAGGGGUGCAAGCGUUUAUCCGGAUUCACUGGGUUUAAAGGGUGCGUAGGUGGGCUGGUAAGUCAGUGGUGAAAUCUCCAGGCUUAACUUGGAAACUGCCAUUGAUACUAUCAGUCUUGAAUACCGUGGAGGUCAGCGGAAUAUGUCAUGUAGCGGUGAAAUGCUUAGAUAUGACAUAGAACACCAAUUGCGAAGGCAGCUGGCUACACGAAUAUUGACACUGAUGCACGAAAAGCGUGGGGAUCAAACAGG